rnacentral:rRNA from 1 species
GUGGGGAAUCUUGCGCAAUGGGCGAAAGCCUGACGCAGCCAUGCCGCGUGAAUGAUGAAGGUCUUAGGAUUGUAAAAUUCUUUCACCGGGGACGAUAAUGACGGUACCCGGAGAAGAAGCUCCGGCUAACUUCGUGCCAGCAGCCGCGGUAAUACGAAGGGGGCUAGCGUUGCUCGGAAUUACUGGGCGUAAAGGGCGCGUAGGCGGACAGCUUAGUCAGAGGUGAAAGCCCAGGGCUCAACCUUGGAAUUGCCUUUGAUACUGGCUGUCUUGAGUUUGGGAGAGGUGAGUAGAACUCCGAGUGUAGAGGUGAAAUUCGUAGAUAUUCGGAAGAACACCAGUGGCGAAGGCGACUCACUGGCCCAAUACUGACGCUGAGGCGCGAAAGCGUGGGGAGCAAACAGGAUUAGAAACCCUAGUAGUCC